rnacentral:misc_RNA from 1 species
UCCGAGUUGACCCCGGCAGUCUCCUAUGAGUCCCCGGCUUGAACCGCUGGCAACAUAGGACAAGGGUUGCGCUCGUUGCGGGACUUAACCCAACAUCUCACGACGCGAGCUGACGGCAGCCAUGCACCACCUGUGAUCCGGCCCCGAAGGGAAGCCCUGUUUCCAGGGCGGUCCGGAACAUGUCAAGCCCAGGUAAGGUUCUUCGCGUUGCAUCGAAUUAAAGAACAUGCUCCGCUGCUUGUGCGGGCCCCCGUCAAUUCUUUUGAGUUUUAGCCUUGCGGCCGUACUCCCCAGGCGGAACACUUAUCGCGUUGGCUUCGGCACGGACAGAUUCGACUCCGCCCACACCUAGUGUUCAUCGUUUACGGCGUGGACUAC